rnacentral:rRNA from 1 species
CCUACGGGGUGCACCAGUGGGGAAUAUUGGACAAUGGGCGCAAGCCUGAUCCAGCAAUGCCGCGUGUGUGAAGAAGGCCUUCGGGUUGUAAAGCACUUUUAUCAGGAACGAAAUACCACGGGUUAAUACCCUAUGGGGCUGACGGUACCUGAGGAAUAAGCACCGGCUAACUUCGUGCCAGCAGCCGCGGUAAUACGAAGGGUGCAAGCGUUAAUCGGAAUUACUGGGCGUAAAGCGUGCGUAGGCGGUUUGUUAAGUCUGCUGUGAAAGCCCUGGGCUCAACCUGGGAAUGGCAGUGGAAACUGGCGAGCUAGAGUGUGAUAGAGGAUGGUGGAAUUCCCGGUGUAGCGGUGAAAUGCGUAGAGAUCGGGAGGAACAUCAGUGGCGAAGGCGGCCAUCUGGAUCGACACUGACGCUGAGGCACGAAAGCGUGGGGAGCAAACAGGAUUAGAUACCCGUGUAGUC